rnacentral:lncRNA from 1 species
AGUGCUGCCCCCGGGGACCAGCCGCCGGUCCCCCCACCCGCUGUGCCCCCUGCCCCUGCGUCGGGGCCACCACAGCCCUUCUGGGCGCGGGGAACUCGGACCCUUACUGCCUGCCGGGGGCGGACUUUGGGGGGACCUGCUUUCGGGGCCGUGAGUGAGGUCUACCUGCUGCCUCUUGACCACACAGUGAAGGUUUGGGACAGACAGACAGAAAGAGGGGUUCGUCUGAGCGUGCAGAUAGCCAGCCACUUCCCUGGGUUUGCGGAGUACGUUUUUUGAACUGAGUCCGAAAUGUCCGGCCCUGGCACUUGGCCUGCUGUGGGUCUCAGUGUGGCUUAGCCCGUCGCUUGGUGCUAUUACCAGAGGUAGAGGGUCUGAAAUAGGGGAGGGGAAAGGCCUGAGCUGCCCAUGUUCUAGAUCCCUCCUGGGAGUUGGGACCCUGAUGGGGACCCCGCGCCUCCUCCCGCAGGUCCUGGAAGCCACGCGGGUGACCCACCACAAGAACGCCAUGGCACAGCGCUGGGAAGCGGGCAUCUUCAGCAAGGACUGAGCCGGCGGCCUCCGAGCGCCUCCCUCCCGCAGGACCGCGUGCAGCUCCGGGAGGCAGGACGCGCUGGGCGCCGGGAAACCUGCGGGGGCCCUGGGAGCGGCGGGAGCUCGGGUCCCUGCGGCCGCGCCAGCAGCACGCCUGCCCGGAGUCAGCACAGAGGGGACGGGGGGGGGCGCUGCCCCCCGACUCCCCGGCCCCCCUGCCUGCCCGCCUCGGCAGGGACGUGACCCCGCGCUGUCCUCCACCCUCCGACCCGGAGGCACCUGCAGCUCAGCGUGAGCGGGAGAAACCGGGAGGUGACCUGCACGCCCGGGAUCAAGGGAAGCCCUUCUCACCGGGAUGAGGGGCGCCGGGACCCUCCUGAGAAACAGGCGACCCUACUGCACCAGCGUCCAAAGCUCCGACGGUUAAGUGAAGCCCAUGAGCGGGCAUAGAUCACAGGGAGGCCCGCCUGCCAUCUGAGCUGGGGGUGCGGCCGCGGGCAAGGGGGGUCACUAACAGCAGGAGCUGGGGGGGGGCUCACCCGGAAAUGCUGCACCACUGGGGCUGACCAAGACCUUUUUUUAUUAAAACCUGGGAUUCUGGGGCAGCCCAGGUGGCUCAGCAGUUUAGCGCCUGCCUUUGGCCCAGGUGUGAUCCUGGAGACCCGGGAUCAAGUCCCACGUCGGGCUCCCUGCGUGGAGCCUGCUUCUCCCUCUGCCUGGGUCUCUGCACCUCCCCCACCCCGUCUCUCAUGAAUAAAUAAAUAAAAUCUAAAAAAACAAAAAACAAAAAACCUGGGAUUCUGGCUGGUUUCAAGAAUUCGCUGUUCCCUGGCCAGGGUGGAUCGGGUUUUACGGAGCCGGAGCCCCGCUGGGCCCUGGCCCACGCCCUGAGCCUGCGGAGACGGAGCCCAACUCACAGCAAAGCCCAGAUGAACGGAGGCCACGGGCAGGCUGCCCGCUCCCCGCCUGCAGGGUGGCUGCUGUCACGGGUUCAACAGGGG